GCGGUCUGAAACGAAGAGAGAAGCCUCAAGAUGACACAGCCACAGUAACGUCACUGCCUGCCUCGGCAGUAAUAAACAUCUACCCCCGCCGGAAUAAUUUGGCAGCACAGAGGCAAAACUAUUUCAGAGAAGCAGAGGUCGGACAACGGUUUCCGAAGUGGCUGGCAGGAGAUCAGUUUAGAAUCAUCUCCCUCACCUCUCAUCAGGCAUGUCCCCCUCCCUGGGAGGCUCUCUAAAUCAACAGGGCCAGGACACAGAUUUAGAACCUGGCACCCUUAAACAUUUUAGAACCACCAGUCCAAUGUAAACAGAAUCAGGGCGUUGGAAUUCUCAACUAUCUACAGAAUUACUGACUUCUACAUCCAGAUGACAGGCUGAGCCCCAAGGAUCUACUCUUGACAACCGACUCUAAUACACAAGACAAGAAAGAAUAAAUGGAACAUUUUAGCCUCAGCAGAAAAAAAAAUGCUCUGAGUUAUCAGAAAGAAUGAACUUUCUGUUUGUUGUUGUUUAAACAAACAACAAAAUCCAUCCAUGGAAGAGACAACUUCGCUUGGGCACGGACGUGUAACUACAGGGUAGGACACUUCCUCCUAAGACAGAAGGACCCACUCACAGUUGGCAAUGAUGACAGAGCUCCAUCACAGCCUCUGGCAACCAUUAGGGAGGCUUGGGAAGAUCCCAAGCAGAAGAGGAAAGGUGUUUCAGAGUCCAAGGAACUGUCCUGCCCUCUCAUCUCAGAAAACCCAUUUUCAACCCUUACACAAACAUCCAUCCAUCCACAUCACCCAACCAUCCCAUCACAGACAGAAGAGGAAAAGACAUGGAUACACUCAGAAAAGAAGGUAUGUGAAGAUAGAGGCAGAGGUUGGAGUGAUGCAGUCACCAGCAAAGGAACAUGUGGAGUCACCAAACCUAGAAGAGGCAAGGAAGGAUUCUCCCCUAGUGCCUUCAGAGGGGACAUGACCGCCCACACCUUGAUUUCAGGCUUCAGGCUUCUAGAAAUAGAUUAAUGGACUCCUUGAAGGCCAGACAGGAUAAACACUUGGGUCAGUCUACGUGACAUAUGCACCAGUCUCAAGUUUAGCAGAGCACAAUGCAACCAAACGACCUAAAGCACAAAUCCGCAGACCCUGGCCCAAAUACCCCACUUCCUCAUCUCCAGUAUGGGGAUAAUACCCAUCACAGGAUGGGUAUUACACAAACAGGGUAUUACACAUUACACAGGGUAUUACAGUAAACAGUUUAUCAUCAAGUACUACACAGAUAUAAGAUGUUAUCAUUAUAAUCUCUCAGUUUUCUAGUGUUUGAAAUAAAGAAAGUAGACCAGGUAAAUUUAGAGGUCACAUCUAUUGCCAACACAACAAUAUCUUCAAAAGUAACAAUGUCCUAAUAAAGAACCAGGGUAGAGGCCACAAAUAGUGAAAAACACAUGUAAGAGGGUAGAUGAAGAAGAAACAGUGAACAAGAAGUCCAUGCCCAACCCCUGAACAGGUGUUUAAUAAACACUGAUGCACUAUGACAUAGAA